AUCCAUGAUAAAUUGUUUUUGUUAGUUUAUAGACAUGUGGAAGCCAGUUAGGAUCUUUGUAUCUCUGGUUCUAUUGAUUCUAUUAUUGUUUUUAGUAUCCAAUCUUUCACAUCUUCAUUACCCAGCUACUGGAUUUGGAACCAGCUUCAGAUUCAACCAUCAUUUUUUGAAUUCUAAUCUUACAUUUCACUCCCACCAAAAGUUUAUUCACCAUCUUCAUCAUUUCAUCUCCAGGAAACUAGCUGGAAUGCAUGAGAAUACUAUGACAUCAAUACCUGGUUGUUCAAAUAUGAGGAAGGAUUGUUACAUUGGGGGUCCACUGAAGGACGAGUUCACAUUUCCUGCAAAAUCUGUUCCCUUCAAUAAUUGUCAUGCCUCUACCAUUGUUGAGGUGGACAAAGAUCACUUUUUGGUUGCCUAUUUUGGUGGUACAAUGGAGGGAGCACCUGAUGUGAAAAUUUGGUUACAGACAUACAAAAGUGGUCAGUGGCAAUCACCCAUCAUUGUUGAUGAACAACCUGAAGUUCCUUUGUGGAAUCCUGUACUAUUUAAACUACCAUCAGAGGAGUUGCUACUGUUCUAUAAAAUAGGUCAAGAUUUUCAAAGAUGGAGCGGAUGCCUGAAGCGGUCGUAUGAUAAAGGUGUUACUUGGACGGAAAGAGAACAACUUCCUCCUGGCAUAUUAGGACCAUCAAAGAACAAGCCAAUCUUGCUAGAAAAUGGGCUCUUGCUUUGUGGAUCAUCAGUAGAAAGUUGGAAUUCUUGGGGUGCAUGGAUGGAGGUAACAGCAGAUGCAGGUAGGACAUGGAAAAAGUAUGGCCCUAUUUACAUUGAAAAUACACCUCUCAGUGUGAUUCAACCGGUCCCAUUUCAGACUGCAAAGGGGACUCUGCGUGUUCUACUCCGAUCCUUUAAUGGCAUUGAUAGAAUUUGUAUGUCAGAAUCCUAUGAUGGUGGACUGAAUUGGGGUUAUGCAAAGCCCACUGAACUCCCAAACCCAAACUCAGGGAUUGAUGGAGUUAAACUGAGGGAUGGCCGUCUGUUGCUUGCCUAUAAUACAAUCUCCAGGGGCGUGCUUAAAGUUGCUUUAUCUGAAGACGAUGGAGACUCAUGGUAUGAUGUUAUUACACUGGAGGAAAAUCUAGAUAUGGAGUUUUCCUAUCCAGCAGUUAUCCAGGCUAGUGAUGGAUCUGUUCACAUCUCUUACACAUAUAAUAGGACACAGAUCAAGCAUGUUGUCCUUCAGCCAAAUUGAUGCAAGACACGCUGUUGAGCAAUUCAGAUGGUAAAGGUCUGACAAGCUUUUGAGAAAAGUAUUAAUUUUGAUGCAUCGACAUGUUCUUUAUGAAAAGCAGUUCUUCCUUCUGAUAUAAGUAAGAAAGUCUCUGAUGGACUUUGCUUCUAUCUCCACGUAAAGUCAGACUUCUUGUUGUAUUGGAGUGUUAGAGGAGAGUUGGGUGUGUCCUAAAAAUUUGGAGGAGCUUUGGCCAUUAUUUUACAUGUUUUAGAAGAUGGGAAAAAAAUUCACCUUUGUUAUGAUGUGAUUACUUGAUGAGUACACACGAGCAUCCUGACGCGAAAGUAUGCAUCGACAGGCUGAAGCCAGGCUUAACAAAGAAUUCAUACAGUGCUCGCUCGGGCAGCAAUAUUAUGCUUUUCACAGAUGGAAAGCUUGUCUGGCAGGUAAACUCUGAACUGAUUUGCAGCAAGGACAAUACUAGGAGAAACCUGCGUUUGGAUUGGUUAGUUUUGGUAAAUUAAAGACAAGGGGUGUGAGUUUCUGUUGUAGUGAAUUUGAUAAUUUUAUUUUUCUGUUCUGAUAAAUGAGGAAUAGUUUAAUCAAAUAAUUUUGAUAGAGUUCAUCGUAGAUGUUCUUUUAGUUCAUUGUAAUAAAUCCUUUAAACUUAUUGGCUAUUGAGAUUUUUUACAACUUGAAAGCUU